rnacentral:tRNA from 1 species
CAAAAAGUAGUUUAAUUAAAAUUUAAGCUUUGGGAGCUUAGGAUAUAGGAUCUAUCUUUUUGA